UGAGACCUCAGGUCAGGCGGGGCUACCCGCUGAAUUUAAGCAUAUCAAUAA
rnacentral:rRNA from 1 species